AGUGGCGAACGGGUGAGUAACACGUGAGAAACCUGCCCCGGAGACUGGGAUAACCCGAGGAAACUCGGGCUAAUACCGGAUACCUUCCGAGCGUCGCAUGGCGCACGGAAGAAAUGGUCCGCCGCUCUGGGAGGGUCUCGCGGCCUAUCAGCUUGUUGGUGAGGUAAUGGCUCACCAAGGCAUCGACGGGUAGCUGGUCUGAGAGGACGAUCAGCCACACUGGGACUGAGACACGGCCCAGACUCCUACGGGAGGCAGCAGUGGGGAAUCUUGCGCAAUGGGCGAAAGCCUGACGCAGCAACGCCGCGUGAGGGAAGACGGCUCUCGGGUUGUAAACCUCUUUCAGCAGGGACGAAAUUGACGGUACCUGCAGAAGAAGCGCCGGCCAACUACGUGCCAGCAGCCGCGGUAACACGUAGGGCGCAAGCGU
rnacentral:rRNA from 1 species